UACGGAGGGGGCUAGCGUUGUUCGGAAUUACUGGGCGUAAAGCGCGCGUAGGCGGACCUGCAAGUCGGGGGUGAAAGCCCGAGGCUCAACCUCGGAACUGCCUUCGAUACUGCGGGUCUCGAGUCCGGGAGAGGUGAGUGGAAUUCCUAGUGUAGAGGUGAAAUUCGUAGAUAUUAGGAAGAACACCAGUGGCGAAGGCGGCUCACUGGCCCGGUACUGACGCUGAGGCGCGAAAGCGUGGGAGCAACGG
rnacentral:rRNA from 1 species